rnacentral:rRNA from 1 species
AGGAUUUGACAUGGGGAGGACCGGUACAGAGAUGUACUUUUCCCGCAAGGGACCUUCCGCAC